GCCCUUCUCAGUUCGGAUUGUAGGCUGCAACUCGCCUGCAUGAAGCUGGAAUCGCUAGUAAUCGCAAAUCAGCCAUGUUGCGGUGAAUACGUUCCCGGGUCUUGUACUCACCGCCCGUCACACCAUGGGAGUUGUGUUUGCCUUAAGUCAGGAUGCUAAAUUGGCUACUGCCCACGGCACACACAGCGACUGGGGUGAAGUCGUAACAAGGUAACCGUAGGUGAACCUGCGGUUGGAUCACCUCCU
rnacentral:rRNA from 1 species